GGGUUGUGAGGUUAAGCGACUAAGCGUACACGGUGGAUGCCCUGGCAGUCAGAGGCGAUGAAGGGCGUGCUAAUCUGCGAUAAGCGCCGGUAAGGUGAUAUGAACCGUUAUAACCGGCGAUACCCGAAUGGGGAAACCCAGUGUGAUUCGUCACACUAUCAUUAACUGAAUCCAUAGGUUAAUGAGGCGAACCGGGGGAACUGAAACAUCUAAGUACCCCGAGGAAAAGAAAUCAACCGAGAUUCCCCCAGUAGCGGCGAGCGAACGGGGAGGAGCCCAGAGCCUGAAUCAGCAUGUGUGUUAGUGGAAGCGUCUGGAAAGGCGCGCGAUACAGGGUGACAGCCCCGUACACAAAAGCGCAUGUGCUGUGAGCUCGAUGAGUAGGGCGGGACACGUGGUAUCCUGUCUGAAUAUGGGGGGACCAUCCUCCAAGGCUAAAUACUCCUGACUGACCGAUAGUGAACCAGUACCGUGAGGGAAAGGCGAAAAGAACCCCGGCGAGGGGAGUGAAAAAGAACCUGAAACCGUGUACGUACAAGCAGUGGGCGCACAGGUUUCCCUGUGUGACUGCGUACCUUUUGUAUAAGGUGUCAGCGACUUA
rnacentral:rRNA from 1 species